rnacentral:rRNA from 1 species
GUAGGUGGCAAGCGUUGUCUGGAAUUAUUGGGCGUAAAGCGCGCGCAGGCGGUUCUUUAAGUCUGGUGUGAAAGCCCACGGCUCAACCGUGGAGGGUCAUUGGAAACUGGAGAACUUGAGUACAGAAGAGGAAAGCGGAAUUCCACGUGUAGCGGUGAAAUGCGUAGAGAUGUGGAGGAACACCAGUGGCGAAGGCGGCUUUCUGGUCUGUAACUGACGCUGAGGCGCGAAAGCGUGGGGAGCAAACAGGGAUUAGAUACCCUGGUAGUCCACGCCGUAAACGAUGAGUGCUAAGUGUUAGGGGGGUUUCCGCCCCAUUAGUGCUGCAGCUAACGCAUUAAGCACUCCGCCUGGGAGUACGGCCGCAAGGCUG